rnacentral:rRNA from 1 species
GACAGAGGGUGCAAACGUUGUUCGGAAUUACUGGGCGUAAAGCGCACGUAGGCGGAUUCCUAAGUCGGGGGUGAAAUCCUGGAGCUCAACUCCAGAACUGCCUUCGAUACUGGGAAUCUUGAGUCCGGAAGAGGUGAGUGGAACUGCGAGUGUAGAGGUGAAAUUCGUAGAUAUUCGCAAGAACACCAGUGGCGAAGGCGGCUCACUGGCCCGGUACUGACGCUGAGGUGCGAAAGCGUGGGGAGCAAACAGG